UACGAAGGGUGCAAGCGUUACUCGGAAUUACUGGGCGUAAAGCGUGCGUAGGUGGCGCGCUAAGUCGGGUGUGAAAUUUCGGAGCUUAACUCCGAAACUGCAUUCGAUACUGGCGUGCUUGAGGACUGGAGAGGAGACUGGAAUUCAUGGUGUAGCAGUGAAAUGCGUAGAGAUCAUGAGGAAGACCAGUGGCGAAGGCGGGUCUCUGGACAGUUCCUGACACUGAGACACGAAGGCCGGGGGAGCAAACGGG
rnacentral:rRNA from 1 species